CGUAUAUUAAAGUUGUUGCAGUUAAAAAGCUCGUAGUUGGAUUUGUGGCGUACGGUGUGUUCCGGGCACUUGUUGUCUGAGUAACCUGCUGUUGCCAUCCUUGGGUGGAACCUGUGUGGCAUUAGGUUGUCGUGCAGGGGAUGCCCAUCUUUUACUGUGAAAAAAUUAGAGUGUUCAAAGCAGGCUUAUGCCGUUGAAUAUAUUAGCAUGGAAUAAUGAGAUAGGACUUUUUUACUAUUUUGUUGGUCUGCGUAAAGAGGUAAUGAUUAAUAGGGACAGUUGGGGG
rnacentral:rRNA from 1 species